ensembl:lncRNA
CUGAAAUUGAAUGAAUGGCAAUUCUGAUUGAGAUGGAGUUCUGCUACUGAAUUCAUGUAGGGAACUGGCAUGUACAGAUUUCCAAAACAGUGAUGUAUGUCUCUUUUAUUGCUUUUAUUUUUUAUUAUUUUUAUUUUUCUUUUCAACAUGAGUUGUGUGGUAUUGUGUAGAACAUCACCAAUUUGGGAGUGCCACUGUUUGCCAUAAACCAGGAAGUGUGAAGUCUAUCCACCAAGAGGAGCUCAAAUAUAUACUGCAAGAAGGUAGAAUGUGGAAAAAUACUCCAGCAUCACAGAAUGGCUAAGGUUGGCAGGGACCUCGGGGUCCACCUGAUCCAACCCAUGCUCGAGCAGGGACACCCAGAACAGGAUAUCCAAGAUGGUUUUACAAAGGAAGUCAGCCAACAGCACAAACUGGAACUGCUCCACUAUUUGAAGAGUUUUUGUUUGUAUCUUUGACUGGUGGCUUUUUUGCAACUGAAUAAACAAACAAACAAAAAAAAAAAACCAAAAUCCAUUAAUAAACAAUGCAACAAGCAGC